rnacentral:rRNA from 1 species
AGGACGAACGCUGGCGGCGUGCUUUACACAUGCAAGUCGAGCGGUAAGGCCCUUCGGGGUACACGAGCGGCGAACGGGUGAGUAACACGUGGGUGACCUGCCCUCCACUCUGGGAUAAGCCCGGGAAACUGGGUCUAAUACCGGAUAUGACCACAUGUCGCAUGGUGUGUGGUGGAAAGCGUUUAGUGGUGGGGGAUGGACCCGCGGCCUAUCAGCUUGUUGGUGGGGUAAUGGCCUACCAAGGCGACGACGGGUAGCCGGCCUGAGAGGGCGAUCGGCCACACUGGGACUGAGACACGGCCCAGACUCCUACGGGAGGCAGCAGUGGGGAAUAUUGCACAAUGGGCGGAAGCCUGAUGCAGCGACGCCGCGUGAGGGAUGACGGCCUUCGGGUUGUAACCUCUUUCAGUACCGACGAAGCGAGAGUGACGGUAGGUACGAGAAGAAGCACCGGCCAACUACGCGCCAGCAGCCGC